GUUUGAUCCCGGCUCAGAAUGAACGCUAUCGGUAGGUCUAAGACAUGCAAGUUGAACGGUUAAAAAAUAAUUCGUAGCGAACGGGUGCGUAACACGUAGGUAUUUAUCAAAAAAUUUGGAGCAACUUUUCCAUCAUAAGAAAUCCCAAAUAAUAAAACAAAAGAUUAUAAAUCGUUUUUUGAAAAGCCUGCGUAAGAUUAGGUUGUUGGCAGUUUAAUAGACUACCAAGCCGAUGAUCUUUAGCUGAUUUGUGAAAAUGGUCAGCCACACUGGGAUUGAGAAAAGGCCCAGACUUUUUUUGAAGGCAGCAGUCAGGAAUCUUGGACAAUGAGCGAAAGCUUGAUCCAGCUAUAUCGAGUCAAGGAAUUAUUGAAGGUUAUUUUUGAUUGUAAACUUGAAAACUUAAAUUAAAAAUUAUGAUAUAUUUUAAGUGUAAGCCCCGGCUAAUUUCGUGCCAGCAGCCGCGGUAACACGGAAGGGGCAAGCGUUAUUCGGAUUGACUGGGCGUAAAGGGUGCGUAGGCUGGUAGUUGGGUUAGUAGUUAAAUCCCCAAGCACAACUUGGGUUUCGCUAUUAAAACCUUCAUACCUAGAGUACUAACUAGGAAAGUAGAAUUGCGAGUGGAGCGGUAGAAUGCUUAGAUAUUCGCAGGAAUACCAAAUGCGAAGGCAGCUUUCUUGUUUUUAAACUGACGCUGAGGCACGAAAGCACAGGUAGCAAGGCGGAUUAGAUACCCGUUUAGUCUGUUUGCUGUAAACGAUGAGUGUUCAUUUUUUGAAGCUUUAGUUUUAAGAAAUUAAGCAAACGCAUUAAACACUCCGCCUGGGGAGUACAAUCGCAAGAUUGAAACUCAAGGGAAUUGACGGGGGCUCGCACAAGCGGUGGAACAUGUGGUUUAAUUCGAAACAACGCGCAGAACCUUACCAGUGUUUGCAUUUUUUAGCAAAAGAUAAAUGUUAUAAUUUCAUCUUUGAUAACAAACAGGAGCUACAUAGCUGUCGUCAGUUCGUGUCGUGAGAUGUAUGGUUUAUUCCUAUAACGAACGCAACCCUCUUAUUUAAUAUACUAUGAUUGGUUAAUUAAAUAAACUGUCUGCAAUAAGCAAGAAAGAAGGAGAGGACAACGUCAAGUCCGUAUGGCCCUUAUGCGCUGGGCUACACACGUGUUACAUUGGCGAAUACAAACAGAGGCAAAGAUGCAAAUCGAAGCAAAUCUUCAAAAAUCGCCGUGUUCGGAUUGUUCUCUGCAACUCGAGAGCAUGAAGUUGGAAUCGCUAGUAAUCGUGGAUCAGCAUGCCACGGUGAAUACGUUCCCGGGCCUUGUACACACCGCCCGUCACAUCAUGGGAAUUGGUUCUACCCGAAGACG
rnacentral:rRNA from 1 species